UAAUUUUCAGGUUAUUAGUCUUGUGGGAGCACAAAAGGUAACUUUGCAUCCUGAUGAUAUAUUACUACUUGCAAAUUUCAUAUUGUCCUCCGAAUCUUUUAGGACUUCGGAGUCUUUUUCACCCAUAUGCUUGCCAAGAUACAAUCCUAUGGCCUUCCUAUACGCUUAUGUUCAUUUUUUUGAUGAAAAUACUUACUUGACUCUUCUUACUCCGAGAUCAGAUGCCUUCUUUGAUUUGAAAGAUUCAAGGGCCCGCAUUCAGGAUGUUCUAUUGAAAUCAAAUGUCCUUCUCGAAGUCCAAAGGUCUUUGCACGAGAAUGU